ensembl:lncRNA
GCAACGAUUAAGGUUAGUCAUUCAUCCUGAAUGGUUCAUGCAACGAUUAAGGUUAGGUAUUCAUCCUGAAUGGUUCAUGCAACGAUUAAGGUUAGUCAUUCAUCCUGAAUGGUUCAUGCAACGAUUAAGGUUAGGCAUUCAUCCUGAAUGGUUCAUGCAACGAUUAAGGUUUGGCAUUCAUCCUGAAUGGUUCAUGCAACGAUUAAGGUUUGGCAUUCAUCCUGAAUGGUUCAUGCAACGAUUAAGGUUAGGCAUUCAUUCUGAAUGGUUCAUGCAACGAUUAAGGUUUGGCAUAGGCUUAAAACAAAAUAUAAAAAACAACUUUAUAUCACUGGAUUCGAACAUGCAACCUUUGACCCUUUGGAACCACAGACAGAUGCUUAUGCUCAUCUACAAUGCCC